UACGUAGGGUGCAAGCGUUGUCCGGAUUUACUGGGCGUAAAGAGCGCGCAGGCGGUCGUACAAGUCGCGUGUGAAAGCCCCCGGCUCAACUGGGGAGGGUCACGCGAUACUGUUCGACUCGAAGGCAGGAGAGGGAAGUGGAAUUCCCGGUGUAGUGGUGAAAUGCGUAGAUAUCGGGAGGAACACCAGUGGCGAAGGCGACUUCCUGGCCUGUUCUUGACGCUGAGGCGCGAAAGCUAGGGUAGCAAACGGG
rnacentral:rRNA from 1 species